rnacentral:lncRNA from 1 species
ACUUAGCCAUGCAUGCUUUCUAGGUUUACUUUCUCAUCUAAACUUCUGCUGCAGUUUGCCAUUCACAAUGACACAUUGAACACUUUAAGAGACCAAAAUGGUUGUCGUGCAGGGUGAAAAAGACUAAUUGAAGAGGAUAUAACAAGAACCAAUUAUCAUAAAUUAAUGCCUAGGAGAACUCACAUUUAGAAUCAGUUUGAGCAUCCAACAAGGUUGAGGAAAAAUAAGGGGUAGAACAAACACUUGACCUGAAUUGACAUAAUAUUCCAAAACAAAUACAUUCAUUCACUUUACUAAGCACUUACAGAAAGUAGGCUAAUAUUAAUAGCUGAAAGCCAGAUCAAAU